rnacentral:rRNA from 1 species
AACGAACGCUGGCGGCAGGCUUAACACAUGCAAGUCGAACGAGAUCUUCGGAUCUAGUGGCAGACGGGUGAGGAACACGUGGGAACAUCCGUUUCAGUUCGGAAUAACGUUGGGAAACUAACGCUAAUACCGGAUACGUCCUUCGGGAGAAAGAUUUAUCGCUGAAAGAUUGGCCCGCGUAUGAUUAGCUAGUUGGUGGGGUAACGGCUCACCAAGGCUACGAUCAGUAGCUGAUCUGAGAGGAUGAUCAGCCACAUUGGGACUGAGACACGGCCCAAACUCCUACGGGAGGCAGCAGUGGGGAAUAUUGGACAAUGGGCGCAAGCCUGAUCCAGCCAUGCCGCGUGAGUGAUGACGGCCUUCGGGUUGUAAAGCUCUUUUGUCCGGGAAGAUAAUGACUGUACCGGAAGAAUAAGCCCCGGCAAACUUCGUGCCAGCCGCCGCAGUAA